CGCCAGGGCCUAAGUUGCUGACAGGGGUGGAGAAGUCUCAGGGGCCAGGCAGGGGGCCUGUCUUGCUGUCAGUGCCCAUGAUGGAUGAGGGGCUAGAGCUAGACUUCUGUCACAGGGGGAGGUGCGGGGCUGACCCCCCAGGGUCUGCAGGCAGAGCCUCUGCCUCUCAAAGCUGGGGCGCCUGGGUAAGGGUCCCCACCCAACCAGGGGUGUUUAAAAGCCCAAAGGGUGUGGGCCUUCCCACUCUGUCCAGAGUCAUGGGCGCCUGGGUCUUCCCCGUGGCUCUUUUCCUUCUCUGCCUGACUCCCGAGAGCUUGCAAGGCGGGCUGCCCCUGCUACCUCCUGGCCUGCGGAAAGGUAGGUGGCCCCUCUGGCACUGGCGUCAGGGAAGAGGCCCCAUCUCUCCUGCCCUGGGAGUGUGGGUGCUCUCUGGGACUCCUGAUGGCAGGCCCAGGAGAGCUGAGGGACCUUGCUGUCUUCUGGGCAGGGAAUCUUAUCAAGUGUCCACUCAAGGGUCGGGGGGACACAGACGCCCUGCACUCUGGAAACAGUCCGCCGGGCAGAACAUGCAGCCCUGAGGAGGGGCCUGCGCUGGCUCAGAAGGGUCGCAGGUGUGACGGGGGGGGGACAAGGAGAGCCCAGGCAGGAGGCCGAGUGUCAUGGAAGGGUCUUUACUCCAGAGACAUGGGGGGUCCUAAGGGUAGGAGGAGAGGCUCCCUUGAGCCCUGAUGCAUCUGAGCUUCAGGAGAGAAAGAUGAGGGGGGAGGUCGGGGGUGAGAAGAAGAGGAGAUUUCCAGGGAGGGGAGCCCAGUACAGAGAAUGGAUGGGAGAGGUGAGGAAGAGGCUGGAGUGGGCUCUGCCCCACAGCGCCCCAGGGCCCCGGCUCAGAUACCUUCCUCCAGGCGCAGGGGCCCUCCAGCCUCCACUACCCUGGCCCCAGACUGCUCACGGGCUCUGCCUUCUACCCUCCUGUGACAGCAGGGAAACUGAGGCCCAGGGAGGUGGGUGGCAUCCAGAUUUGGACCCCUUAGUCCCCUCCUAAGUUCUCCCACUUCUUCCUGGAGCCCACAGGCUUAGAGAGCCCAAAUGGCUACCGAUCAGGUAAAGCUUGUAGGGGGUGCUUGGGGAGGGUGGUACACUGGCUCCCAGCUGCUCAAGUACCCUGGGCUCACCGUCUCACUUCUCCGAUGGCCUAUGGUCCCCCCAGUGGUCUGGGAGCAGCCUAUGAAGGGGGUGUGAAACCACAGAGGCCAGGCAUUGAAGGGGGCGUGAAACCCCAGAACCUAGGGUUCAGGACCUUCCCAGGUGCUGCAGCCCAGCCAGAUGAGGUGGGGGGAAGCUGUACAGACAUGGGAGGGGCAUGGAGGUGCCUAAUCUUGCCUGAUGUUGUGGGGGAAGGGAUGCAGCCAGAUCAGCAUUUCUGAGGUCCUCUCCAGGCUCUCCCAGGCCUCAGAGAAGGCAGAAUAGGUGGGAGCCUCACGGGAGGUGGGCAGGAAGGGGACCACAGGGAGUUCUGAUGUCUGGUUGGUGAAGGGAUACACUGGCUCCUUCAUCUGCCCAUCUCUCUUCCCAGGCUUUGGAGGG